rnacentral:rRNA from 1 species
UGGGGAAUAUUGGACAAUGGGCGAAAGCCUGAUCCAGCCAUGCCGCGUGUGUGAAGAAGGUCUUCGGAUUGUAAAGCACUUUAAGUUGGGAGGAAGGGCAGUAAGCGAAUACCUUGCUGUUUUGACGUUACCGACAGAAUAAGCACCGGCUAACUCUGUGCCAGCAGCCGCGGUAAUACAGAGGGUGCGAGCGUUAAUCGGAUUUACUGGGCGUAAAGCGUGCGUAGGCGGCUAAUUGAGUCGGAUGUGAAAUCCCCGAGCUUAACUUGGGAAUUGCAUUCGAUACUGGUUAGCUAGAGUGUGGGAGAGGAUGGUAGAAUUCCAGGUGUAGCGGUGAAAUGCGUAGAGAUCUGAAGGAAUACCGAUGGCGAAGGCAGCCAUCUGGCCUAACACUGACGCUGAGGUACGAAAGCAUGGGGAGCAAACAGG